rnacentral:rRNA from 1 species
UGGGGAAUAUUGGACAAUGGGGGGAACCCUGAUCCAGCCAUGCCGCGUGUGUGAAGAAGGCCUUAUGGUUGUAAAGCACUUUAAGCGAGGAGGAGGGUACUGGUAUUAAUACUACCAGGUACUGGACGUUACUCGCAGAAUAAGCACCGGCUAACUCUGUGCCAGCAGCCGCGGUAAUACAGAGGGUGCGAGCGUUAAUCGGAUUUACUGGGCGUAAAGCGUGCGUAGGCGGCUAAUUGAGUCGGAUGUGAAAUCCCCGAGCUUAACUUGGGAAUUGCAUCCAAAACUGGCGAGCUAGAGUAGGGCAGAGGGUGGUGGAAUUUCCUGUGUAGCGGUGAAAUGCGUAGAUAUAGGAAGGAACACCAGUGGUGAAGGCGACCACCUGGGCUCAUACUGACACUGAGGUGCGAAAGCGUGGGGAGCAAACAGG